UGCUCGUUCCUCCUCUUCCCCUCCCGAAGAGAGGCUCAAGCCGCGUCCAGCACACCUCGGCGGCGGCGCAAUCAGGCUCCUCCUCCUCCUCCUCCUCCUCCUCCUCCUCCCUAGCACUCUUCCUCCUUGCCCCCAUCUGUGAUUUCCCCCAGGGCGUCCUUCCCUGCAGCCCUCCCUAACCCUAGAUCGACCAGGCCGCCGCCAUCUCAUCUCCUCUUCCCACUGAUGGCGGGAGUAGCAGUGAAGACCGUUGCUCUGCCCAGCGACUUUGGACGGAAGAAAGUAGGCCGCGUCGGGUGUGGAUGUAUUCACCGAUGGGAUGGGCGAGGCUGCAUCAUGGUCAUGGACAAUCUCCCUUCUUACCCCCACCAAAAUUUCGUUUAUCUUUGAGCAGGCCAGAAAUAUGGUUUUUCUUUCUAUGUAAGACACCAGUUUUAAUGAUGAGAUCCGAGUUAUUUGGUCAAAUGGAAUUCUUUUCGGCUGAAGGAUAUUCGUCACUACUUAACAGUAGAUUGAUCCUGCUUAAAUUGCCUAUCUAAAUUGGCUUUCACAUGUACUGCAGCAGCAUCAUAGGAAUUAGUCAACCAAGGUUGAUGGAGUCCAACACAUCCUUGAAAUUACUCAAAGCAAGAUAUAUUCUACAUAUUGUUUAUAUAGGCUGGUGGUUAGUUGGCAAUUCUCGGGAAACUAUCAGGUGGCUACAGAUCACCUCAGAUGCUAAAAUUGUGUUGUUUUGAAUAAUUUAGGAUGAUUACAGAUUUGCUGAGGCUAUUACAAAUCAUAUAUUUUCUCAGGUUGAUGCAGGUUAGUCACGUACACUUGCUGCUUGAAGUUUUAGCAGUCCGCAAUCUGGUGCUGAGAGAGUGGACAUCUAUAUCCUAACUGAAAGGCUUGGUUGGUCAUUGGUAAGGAAGGUGGGACCAUUAAGGCUCUAAAAGCUAAGCCCGGGGCUGGCAUACAGGUUAGUGUUAUGACUAUAUGCACGCAUGCUUCUUGUUCACAUCAAAAUGAAAUUUGUUGAUUACGCAACAUAUACCUUAAGGUGAUCUUUCCACAGAAAUAAAAGCUGGAAUCAAAUAGAGGUUGCAAGAACAAUGAUCGUGGAACUCACUAUAUUGGCUAGGUUAAGUUUUGGGGGAUUUUUUGGUGAUAUUUCAUUGUUUGCUGCUCGUAAAGUUGCGCCUGUCUUGUUUUAGGAUUGUGCUUGCUGCCUGGAACCAUGUUUGCAGUUUCUUUGAUUCAAUCUUUUACUUCAGGUGAAGCCAUGUGGUAUACAUCUGUGUGUCUCGCUUAUGGGAUAAGUUGGUUUUAUUUUCUAUAAUAUAAGGGGAUCCAAAAUAUAGUCAAGCUCCAAUUUCAGCUAUAUUUACCAAAGCAACAUAAAUCUGCCUUGUUGGCAUUCUUCGUUCUUUCAAAUCCAAGUGCUAUAUUUUUGCCAGAAGAAACAUUAGACAACUUAGAACUACACAAGAGGGAAAUAAACUUUUUCCAUGCUUUACAAACAACACACAUGGCUCGUCUCUUUUGGCGAGCGAGUCAGGUCAUUUCUUUUGCUGUUAUGUCAUCUUAGCCGUUGCAGCUCAUUGUGGCACGUUUUAAUAUUGUCGAGUUAACUGAAUCUAUACGGUUUUAAUAUUAUUCAGGGUCUAAUGUGUUUCUCUAAAAUUAUCUGGAUUGACUGUAGUAUGGCUAUAUAGGCCCAAGGCAAUAUCAGGGCCCUAAUUUCUGCUCCAACUUAUGCUGAAGGCACCCAAACAUGAUCAACUAAAAUGGAUUUAGUGGUCUUAGUUUAUCUUUGCUGGGGCAGAUUGUUUUCUUCUAUCGUUUAAAUUCUAUGGUAUUAUGUGUUGACUUGUACUUCAUAGUCUGCAGUUUGGGUCUUUCAAUGAAGAGUAGCGUAUCCACUUCAGUUUUGCUUCCUAUUUAGCUCUGCAUUUACCGUCAUAAAUAUGUGUUACAGUAGCCUCAUGCUUUUUUACAACAUACUUAUAUGUGAAAGUUUGGCUUCGAAGCUCAGGCAGUGUUCUUUUUUCUGCAGAGAAAAGUGCAUCACAUGUCCUGAUUUCUUUAAAGAACUAUUUGGUUAUUUUGUCACAAGGAAUUAUUUGUUUAUUUUGAUUACGUUCGUUUCAUGAAGAGCAAAAGGCUGCAGACCAGAAAGAAAGGAGUUCUGUCGUUUUGGAUCCAUAUGAGUGCUCCUCUGCAUUGUCACUUCUUUUGCUUCAUUAUGAAUUGAGCUGUUGACCGGCCGCACUGGCCAUACGUAAUCUACAGUUCAGAACACCUUCUUUAGUGUGUGCCAAUCUAGGGCAUAUUAGUCCCAAGCAAUUACAUCCUAUAGUACCGUGCUAUUUACAAGGAUUAGGAAAGAGCUAUGAGUCAUUGUAUUCAAUUUGCCUGAAACAAGCCUCCUUCUUUGUAAAACUAAAAUAUAGAUGCCUUUAAAUCGCUAUGUUUAUAGCCAACUACCUGGUUCUGUCUGGCA